GAUGAACGCUGGCGGCGUGCCUAAUACAUGCAAGUCGAGCGAACAGACGAGGAGCUUGCUCCUCUGACGUUAGCGGCGGAAGGGUGAGUAACACGUGGAUAACCUACCUAUAAGACUGGGAUAACUUCGGGAAACCGGAGCUAAAACCGGAUAAUAUAUUCAACCGCAUGAUCCAAUAGUGAAAGACGGUUUUGCUGUCACUUAUAGAUGGAUCCGCGCCGCAUUAGCUAGUUGGUAAGGUAACGGCUUACCAAGGCAACGAUGCGUAGCCGACCUGAGAGGGGGAUCGGCCACACUGGAACUGGGACACGGUCCAGACUCCUACGGGAGUCUGCAGUAGGGAACUGGGCGCAAUGGGCGAAGACCUGACGGAGCAACUCCGCGUGAGGGAGGAGGGUCCUCGGAUCGUAACACUCUCUUAGUAGGGCAGAACCAAUGUGUAAGUAACUAUGCACAUCUUGACGGUACCUAAGCAGAAAGCCACGGCUAACUACGUC
rnacentral:rRNA from 1 species